ACGGCCAUAUCACUUUAAAACACCAGUUCUCGUACGAUCACCGAAGUUAAGCAACGUCGAGCCUAGUCAGUACCUAGAUGGGCGAGUGCCUUGGAAUGCCAGGCGCUGUAAG